AAGCUACUGAGUUCAUUCCUCGGUAAGCUGGUGAGUUUAUUCCUUGGUAAGCUAAUGAGUUUAUUCCUCGGUAAGCUGCUGAGUUUAUUCCUUGGUAAGCUGCUGAGUUUAUUCCUUGGUAAGCUACUGAGUUAAUUCCUUGGUAAGCUACUGAGUUUAUUCCUUGGUAAGCUGCUGAGUUUAUUCCUCCGUAAGCUACUGAGUUUAUUCCUUGGUAAGCUACUGAGUUCAUUCCUCAGUAAGCUGCAGAGUUUAUUCCUUGGUAAGCUACUGAAUUUAUUCCUCGGUAAGCUACUGAGUUUAUUCCUCGGUAAGCUACUGAGUUCAUUCCUCGGUAAGCUAGUGAGUUUAUUCCUUGGUAAGCUAGUGAGUUUAUUCCUUGGUAAGCUACUGAGUUUAUUCCUCGGUAAGCUACUGAGUUCAUUCCUCGGUAAGCUACUGAGUUUAUUCCUUGGUAAACUACUGAGUUUAUUCCUCUGUAAACUACUGAGUUUAUUCCUUGGUAAGCUACUGAGUUUAUUCCUUGGUAAGCUACUGAGUUAAUUCCUUGGUAAGCUACUGAGUUAAUUCCUUGGUAAGCUGCUGAGUUUAUUCCUCCGUAAGCUGCUGAGUUUAUUCCUUGGUAAGCUGCUGAGUUUAUUCCUUGGUAAGCUAGUGAGUUUAUUCCUUGGUAAGCUACUGAGUUAAUUCCUUGGUAAACUACUGAGUUUAUUCCUCGGUAAGCUACUGAGUUCAUUCCUCGGUAAGCUACUGAGUUUAUUCCUUGGUAAGCUACUGAGUUUAUUCCUUGGUAAGCUACUGAGUUCAUUCCUUGGUAAGCUAAUGAGUUCAUUCCUUGGUAAGCUAGUAAGUUUAUUCCUUGGUAAACUACUGAGUUAAUUCCUCUGUAAACUACUGAGUUCAUUCUUUGGUAAGCUACUGAGUUUAUUCCUCGGUAAGCUACUGAGUUUAUUCCUUGGUAAGCUACUGAGUUCAUUCCAUUAAUUAUUUAUGUCUGCCCUCACCUUUUUUUUUUAGAUGUUUUUGUAGUUAAAUAAGGUGUUAGCUGUAAAUCCUUGUAGUGUUGAUAAUUGUCAUGGAUUCUCUUUCAGUCCUGAAAGCAGAGCCCAUAAAUAUGAAACAAUUCCCUUACUCGAACUCUUUCUGACAUGUCAGAUCUUUCUUCGUAACAAGAAAGUUGUCUGUCAAUAUAGAACUUACUUAGUAUUGCGAGAAUAGUUUUAUGAAUAUGGGGCCUGGAAACUUAAGUUGACAAUAAUGUCCAUUCUGCCCACUGUUAUCCUCUUUACUUUUCUUGUCUACUACCAAUCAUAGCAGACAUUAUCCAGUGUUACAGUAUCCAGUGUUACAUUAUCCAGUGUUACAGUAUCCAGUGUUACAGUAUCCAGUGUUACAGUAUCCAGUGUUACAUUAUCCAGUGUUACAGUAUCCAGUGUUACAGUAUCCAGUGUUACAGUAUCCAGUGUUACAGUAUCCAGUGUUACAGUAUCCAGUGUUACAGUAUCCAGUGUUACAGUAUCCAGUAUUACAGUAUCCAGUGUUACAGUAUCCAUUGUUAUCCAGUGUUACAGUAUCCAGUGUUACAGUAUCCAGUAUUACAGUAUCCAGUGUUACAGUAUCCAGUGUUACAGUAUCCAGUGAGUUCAUUACUACCUGAUCCUUAAUUGUCUUGGUGGAUGUAGACCUGAGAAAUGAUUUAAACUGUUACGUAGGCCCCCAGAUAUUGUGCAUCAUUCAGUAGGGUUUGGAUGUAAGGGAUUUAACUUGUAAUGAUACAUGUAUAGAUACAACAUUGAGUGCAAUAAUUAUGACAUGCCUUUUACUUACAUAUUUUAUUAUUAACCAUAUAUUGUUGUGUUUGUGCAAGUUUGGGUGGUAUAUAAUGAACUGAUACUGGUUGAUGAAUUUUUGUUUUACACUAUUAUUGUAAAUACGGUCUAAUAUAAGUGACCAAGCUUUCACAUACUUUAUGUGGCAAAUGAUUGUCAAUAAGUUCCUGUGUAUAACCAUAUCACUGUUGUUUGAUAAUAAUAACACACAAAAUCAAAAAAAGCUGUUUUAUUAGUACUUGUCCAAGCAAGACAGUGAAAUAAAACGUAAUAUUAUACCUGCCAAGUCUGCACAUGCACAGGUCAAUCUUCUGAACACCACCCCCCCCCCCCCCCCCCCUCCUAUGACCUGUGUAGCUUGUAAUUAAAAUUUAGAACCUCAUGAAUUAAUACUGCUCAUCCCAGCAUUAAAAAUGAUAACGAUUCAACUUUAUAAAGUUUUAAAACCUAAAAUACUCCUUUUAAAAGAAUAAAAGUAAAUUUUGAUUUUUGAAUGUCAUUCUACUGGUUUUGAUGACUUUGAAAAUUUUACAUACUGAAAUAUUAAGCUGCAAUUAGAAGGUUUGCAUUUUGACCCAAACUGACCCUUGAUUGUUGAGAACUUGGCAGGUAUGUUUGUUGGAAACAUUUUUGAUUGAACGUGUUUGUGGGUAAAUGUGGGUCACUAAGUGAGGUGUAGAAGUUGAUCAUCCCCCAUUGAGCCAUUUAUUUGUCCUAUCUACUGCAGUAGAUACUUGCCUUACACACUGAAAUAGUUUUAUUUUUGUGAUGCACCUAUUUCAAUAUUUAUAAAUAUUUUAUGUGAACACAAGAGUUCGAAAAUUGUAUGAUAGAUAAAAAAAAUGUUGCCUACUGCAUGUUGUAUUGAUAUGAUACUUAUAACAUGUAAUGACCUACCAUGUCCUGUUUGUUAGAGACCUGCUAAACUUUGGCAGGGUCAGACAACUCAUGACUGGUCUUUUUGACUUACACACUAAGGAAGGAUCGUCGUUGUUGGUAUUUUUGUGUUGUUAGCCAAGGUGUUCAGUACAGAAUGAAUUUUACAUUGAAGAUAAUUUAUUAUAAUAAUUGUAUAUUUAAUUUUCUGAUUUUAUAGUUACUAACUUUCAAAAGGUUUGGAAUUUUAGACAUAGUUUGGGUGCAGGUGUAUUCAUGAUCCAGACCUAGUUUAAGUGCAAGUAGGUCACUGCUGUAGAUAUAGCCUGGUUACGAGAGGGUUUUAACUCUUGAUAUAGUUUAGGUGCAAGAAAGGUUAUACUCUUAAUACAUCGUAGUUUGGGUACAUGUUAUGGUCUUGUUUUAGUACACUGAAGGCAGUAAAGAAAAUGUUGUCAUUUAAUGGUCUAGCAUUUACUCCUACACUGUAAAUUGAACGUCCUGGGUUAUUAAAUAUAUAUUUGUCCACAGUCCAGAGAUGCUGGCUGUUGUGAAAGUUGUACAUAACAUGGCAUGUGUGUUGUGUAUAUAUAUAUACACAAAAUGUGAAAAUGAUGGUUUGAUAACCUGUAUAACAUAGGAAAUCCUGGUUCUGUUGGUUGACAUUGUACAUACCUGAACAGGUUAAUGCAUGCAAAUGUGUAAUAUUAGAGAGUCUCCUGAAAUACCUAGUCCCUUGUUGUAAAUAACACAACGCUUUUGUCCUAUUAAGUUUAAAUGUAUUUCCAUUCCUUUUUUGAAGAAGAAUAUUGAAAGUAUAUAUUUACUGUUAAGUAUACGGAGUGUUUCCCAGUCUUUUUAUCUUUCCUAGGUUCAAAAAUAUUUCCUCUGCAUAAUUUUCUAAUAAAGCUUAUCAAAGUUAAAAGUGUCACAAAUCAAGUUAUUUUCUUAAACCUGAAUGGGAAGUCUUUGUUCUGAUUUAAUGAGGUGUGUAGACAAUUUUCAAGGAUGUUUGUAAGAGCUAUCGACUGUACAUGUUAACAGUCGAUAAACAAGGGCUAAAUUGAUAAAUGUUAUUUCUUGUGGUGACAGGUGAUAUUGGUUUUAUUACAUACCUAUAAUUGUUUUCACCUGAUUCAUAAUAAAACGAGGUUUAAUAUAUUCUGUCAAAACUGGUCUCUGUACAACCUGGAUUUUUGUCUAAAAUGACCAACUUAGUUUCAUCAUUCAACAAUGACAAUAUAUAUCAAAUAGCUUACUCUCUACAUACCCUAGAUUCUCUAUCAGUCUGAAUUCCUAACCUGAAAGCAGAGCCCAUAAAUAUGAAACGAUUCCCUUGCUCGAACUCUUUCUGAUAUGUCAGAUCUCUCUUCGUAACAAGAAAGUUGUCUGUCAAUAUAGAACUUACUUUGUAUUGCGAGAACAGUUUUAUGAAUAUGGGGCCUGGAAACUUAAGUUGACAAUAAUGUCCAUUCUGCCCACCGUUAUCCUCCUUACUUUUCUUGUCUACUACCAAUCAUAGCAGACAUUAUCCAGUGUUACAGUAUCCAGUGAUUUACAGGAUUACAGUGUGUGAUCUAGUCAUUUACCAACAGUGUCAACUGUAAACUGAGAUUUAAUGUUUAUGUACAACAGAUAGCUUAAAAGGUUAAAUAUCAAUCUUAGAUACCACAUUGGUUUACAGAAUGGUUUGGGAACUUCCUUCCUUGUACUUGAGUAUAAUGUAAAUGUUCUGUUUAACACCCUAUUAUACUGCACAAAGGCUAAAUCUAUUAGGAUUUUUCUCUGUUCGGUUACUGUUUUUAUUUAACCUUGCUUCAUUUGUGUGUCACACCUUACACAGAAUUCUGUGUGAUGCGCCGUACAGAGAUAUUGUACUGUGUUGAUGAAUGCCUGGGAUAUUGUUUUAGGAUUGUACAUAUAAGGUUGGUAGAGAGGAGGUGUGUAACCUCUGUCUACAUGUAAAUGGUGAUAUAAACUUGCGGUGUGCUGUGAUCUAUUUAACCCCAACCCUUUUCUCUUUAAUGCUAUCAUUUGUUUUUGUUGUCUGUUAUUGUAUCCAUAGUUUUAUCUCAACCAAUGUUUGUGAUAGUGGAGAAAUUGAAAAAAAUGUUUCAUCAAAAUCAUGUUGAGUAUCUUUACUUUAAAUUUUUGAUAAUUAAACAUGUCAGUUUCUGCCAUGAUUUGUUAUGAGUUUAUAAUCAGUACAUGAUUAUGAACUUAAUGAGGUGUACAAUUGAUAUACAGAGCAUUGCUGCUAUACCCUACUAAACACCUGACUGAGUGUAAUAAUAGCUGUCAGGAAUUUAUACAUCUGUACAGUAAAACAGGUUUACUAGUCCAUGAUCACUCAUAAGGUCAAGAGCACCAUCAUGGUCAAAUAUAUUAUUUGCCAUUGGCAAUUUUAUGAAAUAUUUUCUACAGAUGUAUAUUUGUAUUGCUGAUAAAAUACAUCUUGUGGGUCAAUACUUGGAGUCAGAAAAAAAUUGUGGAACUCUUCAUGAUUAUACAACUUGUGCCAUGGUACCCUUAGUCUUAAUGUGAAUUCAUGCUUAGAACAAAAGCCCCCACACACCAGUGUGAGGUUUUAUCUUGUAAACAUAUUUUUUUCUGAAGAGAAGUAAUUUAUGGUUUGUGUUACUGCAGAGAAGGAAUUUCCUCUGUUCCCCGGAUUGCAUUGAUAAUGUGUUCUGUCUUGGGGUCCAUUUUGAACUUGUUUUUCUGUAGAGAAGUACUUUUCUCUGUCCUCAGGUUCAUGAUAAACAUGUUUUAUUGUAGAGAGUGAAUUACCUAAGUCUCCUUGGGUUUGUUACAGACAUACUGAACUGUAGUGAACUUAUUUCCUGUGGCCCUUGGUGUUCAUUAUAAACAUAUUUACUGUGGUCCAUUUUAAAUGUCCAUUUUAAAUGUGAUUUACUGUAGAAAAGUGAUUUACUGUAGAAAAGUGAUUUACUGUAGAAAAGUGAUUUACUGUAGAAAAGCGACUCCUUAUAUACAUAAUAAUAACACACAUUUCUUAUCGUCAGAUGCUGUUGAUCAAGUGCUUCUCUGGUUAUGUGAAUUAAAAGUCUUUUAAAUACGUCAGGGUGUAUGUAUGAUGAUGUAAACAUGUCUGGGUGUAUGUAUGGUGGGUGUGUGUAUGGUGAUGUAAACACAUCUGGGUGUAUGUAUGGUGUGUGUGUGUAUGGUGAUAUAAACACAUCUGGGUGUAUGUAUGGUGUGUGUGUGUAUUGUGAUAUAAACACGUCUGGGUGUAUGUAUGGUGAUGUAAACACGUCUGGGUGUUUGUAUGGGGAUGUAAACACGUCUGGGUGUAUGUAUGGUGAUAUAAACACGUCUGGGUGUUUGUAUGAUGAUGUUAACACGUCUGGGUGUAUGUAUGGUGAUGUUAACACGUCUGGGUGUAUGUAUGGUGAUGUAAACACGUCUGGGUGUUUGUAUGGGGAUGUAAACACGUCUGGGUGUAUGUAUGGUGAUAUAAACACGUCUGGGUGCAUGUAUGGUGAUGUAAACACGUCUGGGCGUAUGUAUGGUGAUGUAAACACGUCUGGGUGUAUGUAUGGUGAUGUAAACACGUCUGGGUGUAUGUUUGGUGAUAUACACACGUCUGGGUGUAUGUAUGGUGAUGUAAACACGUCUGGGUGUAUGUAUGGUGAUAUAAACACGUCUGGGUGUAUGUAUGGUGAUGUAAACACGUCUGGAUGUAUGAUGUAGUACUACUGUUCUUUAUAUGGCAAUUAACUAUUAACAUCUGUCAGAGGCAGAGAACUCAUCUAUGGUUAAGUUUUUUUAGAAUUUUGUUCCUUGAGGGUAUUGCUGCAGCUGAUUGUAUAUUUUCUUUGUUUUUUUUCCUCUGUUUUCCAACCACAUACAAGCAUACCACACUGAAGUUGAAAUCAAUAAUCCAUCCUUUCACUAGGGGUGUCCCAAAAUAUAAGGUGUGUAAUACUUUGAAGACAAGUCAUCUCCAAAGCUGGGACUCUUUAAGCCAAUUAACACUGUGAACAACCCAUUGUAUUGUGUGGAAGAAAUGUAAGACAACCCAUUGUAUUGUGUGGAAGAAAUGUAAGACAACCCGUUCUAUUGUGUGGAAGAAAUGUAAGACAACCCAUUCUAUUGUGUGGAAGAAAUAUAAGACAACCCGUUCUAGUGUGGAAGAAAUAUAAGACAACCCAUUGUAUUUGUGUUGGAAGAAAUUUAAUACAACCUGUUGUAUUGUGUGGAAGAAUUGUCAUAAACUGAUGUGUAAGAAAAGUCAACAUACAAAUGUAUGGUAUAAUCUGAUAAACUCAAAUAAUAUUUGGUCCAAGUAAAACACUUCAGGUUUUGGAGUGUUUGAAAUGCUAAGAAUUAUAUUGCUGAGGAUGGUUGGCACUAGGGGGAGUUUUGAUGACGUAGGGUGUGUGUACGAGUUAGGUAGGGUGCUUACGGGUUAGGGUUGUUUUUGAGUAAGGAGAGGUGAUUAAAAGUUAUGAAGAGUGUUUAUGACUUAAGACGUGUUUAUGGGUUAAUUGGGUAUUAUUGAGUUAGGAGAGAUGUUUAUGAGUUAGGAGGGAUGGUUGUGCGUAAGGAAGGGGUGUUUGUUAAUUAGGAAGGGUGUUCAUGAGUUGGGAGGGGUGCGCUAGGAGGGGUGUUUGUUAGUUAGGAAGGAGGUUUAUGAGUUAGGGGGGGUGAUUGUGAGUUAAUGAGUUUAGGAAGGUGUGAGUUCUGGGGUUUUGUGGGUUAGGAGAUACGUAUAGGAGUUUGGAGCCUUUAUUAGUUAGGAAGGGUUGUCCAGGUUUAUGAUAACUCCUGUCGCUAGAUCAGAGAGUGUAUUGCCGUGUAGGGGAAUUCUGUGGUAAGAAUACUUAAUGCUUCUGUAUCAACAAGGAAUGUUACUGUAACAUGAUCGAUCCUCAUCUCAGUCGAUUCCUUAAUGACUGAAAAUAUGGUGGUUUCUUUUAUUAAAAGGAGAAGUGACAAGUCAGAAAGUGAAUCAAAAUGUAUACGAAAAGCAUUUUGUUGGAGGAUAAAACCUUGCCACUGAUCAUGAUAAUAAAUUUUAGUUUUGCUAUAUUUGCAUUAAGCUUAUGUCUGUUCCACAUCUCACCGGUCAACUGUUAAAUAGUCCAACACAAAGUACAGCAAUGUUUUUUUAUAUGUCCAAAUAAGGUAUGGUUAUUGACUUGCCACACCUUUGAAUGUCCAUAUAUAUACAUGUAUAUUAAAAAUAAUAGCCUAUGGUUUGUGAUGCCCAUGUAAGGAAUUUCCCAUGGUUCGUCAUGCCUGUGUAAGGAAUUUCCCAUGGGUUGUCACACUUUUGCAUCCAUUUCCAUGUAAUUACGGUACUGUUGUUGAUUUGUCCUACUCUGUAAUGUGCAAUACCUCACUGUUCUCUUGUGGUACGGAAUUAUACCACUUACAUUUGCAUGGCUUUAACUCCUUGUGAUAGAGUAACCUAUAACAUGAAAUGUUCAUGGGUAUUUUCUUUUACAGUUUGAAGCAAUAAUGAUUGUUUUGUAUUACAUUUAAACAGUAGUUCAGUAUAUCAGCUAAGUUUUGUAUUUCUAGGUUCCACAGCAACCAGGAAAACCAAGAAUAUUUACUCAUAACAAACAUUUUAUGUUAUAUUAGGUUGGACUUUUGAAGUGAUCAGUGAACCUUUGACCUCCACAGAGUUGUGGUCAGUGCACCAUUGCAAAUUGACCUCCAUGCAGCUGUGGUCAGUACACCAUUGACCUCCAUGGAGUUGUAGUCUGUGCACCAUUGACCUCCACAGAGUUGUGGUUAGUGCACCAUUGACCUCCAGUGAGUUGUGGUUAGUGCACCAUUGACCUCCAGUGAGUUGUGGUCAGUGCACCAUUGACCCCCAGUGAGUUGUGGUCAGUACACCAUUGACCUCCAGUGAGUUGUGGUCAGUGCACCAUUGACCUCCAGUGAGUUGUGGUCAGUGCACCAUUGACCUUCAGUGAGUUGUGGUCAGGGCACCAUUGACCUCCAGUGAGUUGUGGUCAGUUCACCAUUGACCUCCAGUGAGUUGUGGUCAGUGCACCAUUGCCCUUCAGUGAGUUGUGGUCAGUGCACCAUUGACCUGCAGUGAGUUGUGGUCAGUGCACCAUUGACCUUCAGUGAGUUGUGGGCAGUGCACCAUUGACCUCCAGUGAGUUGUGGUCAGAGCACCAUUGACUUCCAGUGAGUUGUGGUCAGUGCACCAUUGACUUCCAGUGAGUUGUGGUCAGUGCACCAUUGACCUCCAGUGAGUUGUGGUCAGUGCACUAUUGACCUUCAGUGAGUUGUGGUGAGUGCACCAUUGACCUCCAGUGAGUUGUGGUCAGUGCACCAUUGACCAGUGCAUGACAGCUACUGCACCAUUGACUAUGGAGUUGAACUGUUUAAGUGGUGCGACAGAAAGCCUACACACAAGUAUUAUUAUAACAUAUAUUUUUUGCUUUUGCUCUGUCUCAAUGGGAUGUAUGUCAUUGAUACAGUUUGUUGCCAUGUGGUUAGACACCAAUAAACGUACUACACAUACUAAA
rnacentral:lncRNA from 1 species